CUGGAGGUAUCAGAAGUGCGAAUGCUGACAUAAGUAACGAUAAAGCGGGUGAAAAGCCCGCUCGCCGGAAGACCAAGGGUUCCUGUCCAACGUUAAUCGGGGCAGGGUGAGUCGACCCCUAAGGCGAGGCCGAAAGGCGUAGUCGAUGGGAAACGGGUUAAUAUUCCCGUACUUGGUGUUACUGCGAAGGGGGGACGGAGAAGGCUAUGUUGGCCGGGCGACGGUUGUCCCGGUUUAAGCGUGUAGGUGUGUGUUCCAGGUAAAUCCGGUUCACUUUAACACUGAGGCGUGACGACGAGGCACUACGGUGCUGAAGCAACAAAUGCCCUGCUUCCAGGAAAAGCCUCUAAGCAUCAGGUAACAUCAAAUCGUACCCCAAACCGACACAGGUGGUCAGGUAGAGAAUACCAAGGCGCUUGAGAGAACUCGGGUGAAGGAACUAGGCAAAAUGGUGCCGUAACU
rnacentral:rRNA from 20 species